rnacentral:rRNA from 1 species
UACGUAGGGUGCGAGCGUUGUCCGGAAUUACUGGGCGUAAAGAGCUCGUAGGUGGUUUGUCGCGUUGUUCGUGAAAACUCACAGCUCAACUGUGGGCGCGCGGGCGAUACGGGGCAGACUGGAGUACUGCAGGGGAGACUGGAAUUCCUGGUGUAGCGGUGGAAUGCGCAGAUAUCAGGAGGAACACCGGUGGCGAAGGCGGGGUCUCUGGGCAGUAACUGACGCUGGAGGAGCGAAAGCGUGGGGAGCGAACAGG